CCGCGCUCGGCCAUUAUAUCUAGAUUUUGAAACCUCAUGUUUGUUUACCAGUAGUAACAGGUGUACAGACUAUCAGGUGUCAUUAUGACAGAUAGCACACUUGUUGCUUCUGCUGUCAAGCAUGUAUACAUUUCUUUCUUUAUAAAGACAGGUUCCUGAGUAUGUAAUGAAAUGGGCCUGUGAAAUCUGCAAACGACAAGGAUAAACUACUAGACUUUUUUUUUUUAACUUGAUUUAUUGAUGAAGACUAGUAAAAGCUUAUGGGGGGGUGUUAAGUCUGUUCAUUAUCUGUUCUAUUAAUACUUAGGAUACUUUAUUUUGAUAUAUUUGAAUGCAUAGAAUAGAUACCAUUUAAUGAAUAAGACGCAGUUUAAUUGAACAAGGUUGGAAACCUAAUGUUUCUGUAUUUCUCUUUUAAAGUUAUUCCUUAUUGAUUUUGGUUUGGCCAAAAAGUACAGAGACAACAGGACAAGGCAACACAUACCAUACAGAGAAGAUAAAAACCUCACUGGCACUGCCCGAUAUGCUAGCAUCAAUGCACAUCUUGGUAUUGAGCAGAGGUAAGUUCGAAAAUGGAAUGUGCUUAUCAUAGCCAUAGCAGAAGCCAUCAAUGGGUUUUUGAAAUAUUUUAGUUUCUUACAAUGUCUAAGGAUGUUUCUUGGCUGAGGAUUUGAAGGAUGCUUAUUAAUCAUUUUACCUGCUGCUUUAACCAGUGUAGAGAAGACCGUUAAAUGAGGUCUUCUGGAUUUUUUGUUGUUGUUGAAGGUUGUCUCUUGGGGGGAAAAUACUGCGUGAUAGAAAGUUAGAAGCAUAAGUGCAAUGUUGACGUUUCUUUUUGCAGCUGAAGAUAGUACAUAUAUUUUUAGAGCUAUUUGGGGCUUUUUAUACUUUAGUAAUUCACGCUGAGUUUGGGAAGAAUGCAUUAUUUAUUUUUAAAAGGAAAAUGUUAUCAGUGUCCUAAUAAACCAAAAGUGGGUUGAUGGACCAUCUCCUGUUAUACUUCACUCAAAUAUAUAAAUUAAUAGGAUCUAGUUUAAAGUAAAAAAAGUAACAGUCUCUGCUCUCUUCCUAUUUCUUCACAUGAGUUCUAGAGUUUCGAGUUCCUUUCAUCUUUUACAGUCACUUUUUGCUCCUUAAAACUAGCAUAGAAGUAAUAAGUAGAAAAAACAAUGAUAUGCCUCCAGGUUAAAGAACCUCAUACCAAGAAUUUCAGGCUUAAGAAAUAUCCAUGAAUAUCUGAAUGAUCUAGGUUAAACUGUAAUGUCACUUUUUCUGUACGCCAAGGCAUUACCUAUCCUUAAAUAUAUAUAUAUCUAAAUAUAUAUUUGUAUGUAUGUGUAUAUAGAUAUGUAUGCAUGAAUACAUUCAUAUAGAUGUUCAAUUAGUUUUAAGUUGUAACUCCUUUUCAGUACUUCUGAAGUUUUUUUUUAAUGAGUUUCUGCAAAACAUAGAAAUGUCAUCCUGCUUGGUUCAUUAAGCUCAUUUAGAGGGUUGUUUAGCCAAAUCGUUUCUGUUCUUUUAAAAUUAAAUUGUAAGACAGUUGUUUGUCAGAUUUUGGAUUCCAUGGAAAAAGUUUUGUUUAGAGGUAGGUAACACAUGAACUUUUUAAAAUCACCUUAAAUAAGUAGCUUCUUGCGUAAGACACCAAAUAGUGUUCCCUCCUCAUUUGGGAACAUUUCUUCUGGGUACUUGACUUUCUUUCAUAUGUUUUUUCAUAAUAAUAGUUCCAGUUUAUAAAAUUACGUUCUCUUUUCUAGUCGCCGAGAUGACAUGGAAUCAUUAGGAUAUGUUUUGAUGUAUUUUAAUAGAACCAGCCUGCCAUGGCAAGGGCUAAAGGCUGCAACAAAGAAACAAAAAUAUGAAAAGAUUAGUGAAAAGAAGAUGUCCACGCCUGUUGAAGUUUUAUGUAAGGGGUUUCCUGCAGAAUUUGCGAUGUACUUAAACUAUUGUCGUGGGCUACGCUUUGAGGAAGCCCCAGAUUACAUGUAUCUGAGGCAGCUAUUCCGCAUUCUUUUCAGGACCCUGAACCAUCAAUAUGACUACACAUUUGAUUGGACAAUGUUAAAGCAGAAAGCAGCACAGCAGGCAGCCUCUUCCAGUGGGCAGGGUCAGCAGGCCCAAACCCCCACAGGCAAGCAAACUGACAAAACCAAGAGUAACAUGAAAGGUUAGUAGCCAAGAACCAAGUGACGUUACAGGGAAAAAAUUGAAUACAAAAUUGGGUAAUUCAUUUCUAACAGUGUUAGAUCAAGGAGGUGGUUUUAAAAUACAU
rnacentral:lncRNA from 1 species